AGAAUCAACGCUGGCGGCGUGCCUAACACAUGCAAGUCGCACGAGAAAGGGACUUCGGUCCUGAGUACAGUGGCGCACGGGUGAGUAACACGUGAAUAAUCUACCUCCGAGUGGGGAAUAACUGAGAGAAAUCUUAGCUAAUACCGCAUAACACUUACGAGUCAAAGCAGCAAUGCGCUUGGAGAGGAGUUCGCGGCAGAUUAGUUAGUUGGCGGGUAAUGGCCCACCAAGACGAUGAUCUGUA
rnacentral:rRNA from 1 species